CUUGUUUGGCUUUGGUGACGUGAUGGCCCUGGGAUCAUGGCCUUCUUGAGCCCAUAAACAGGGGGCUGGGCCCGAGACAGGCAAGGCCAGGCCAAGGGCCCUGCCAAAGUACUAUCUACAGAUUGACUCCCCUCCACCCCCACUGAGGACGAAGGGGUGCUCCGGCCCCACUGCAAGGGAGUGAGGCUCCCGCGGCCCAGCUUAACAUAACGGGUACAUCUUUCCACAUCUCCAGCUAGACAGCAAAUCUUCAUUUUUCAUGUCUACACGGAGGCACCACAAUAAACAUCUUUUUGAUG